AAUAGAUACCCUGGUAGUCCACGCCCUAAACGAUGUCAACUGGUUGUCGGGGAAGCAAUUCCUUGGUAACGAAGCUAACGCGUGAAGUUGACCGCCUGGGGAGUACGGCCGCAAGGUUAAAACUCAAAGGAAUUGACGGGGACCCGCACAAGCGGUGGAUUAUGUGGAUUAAUUCGAUGCAACGCGAAAAACCUUACCUACCCUUGACAUGUACGGAACCUCGCAGAGAUGUGAGGGUGCCCGAAAGGGAGCCGUAACACAGGUGCUGCAUGGCUGUCGUCAGCUCGUGUCGUGAGAUGUUGGGUUAAGUCCCGCAACGAGCGCAACCCUUGUCAUUAGUUGCUACAUUCAGUUGGGCACUCUAAUGAGACUGCCGGUGACAAACCGGAGGAAGGUGGGGAUGACGUCAAGUCCUCAUGGCCCUUAUGGGUAGGGCUUCACACGUAAUACAAUGGCCGGUACAGAGGGCUGCCAACCCGCGAGGGGGAGCUAAUCCCAGAAAGCCGGCCGUAGUCCGGAUUGUUCUCUGCAACUCGAGAGCA
rnacentral:rRNA from 1 species